UAGCAUAUCAAUAAGCGGAGGAAAAGAAACCAACAGGGAUUGCCCUAGUAACGGCGAGUGAAGCGGCAACAGCUCAAAUUUGAAAUCUGGCUCUCUUUGGGGGUCCGAGUUGUAAUUUGCAGAGGAUGCUUUGGCAUUGGCGGCGGUCUAAGUUCCUUGGAACAGGACAUCGCAGAGGGUGAGAAUCCCGUACGUGGGCGCCUGCCUUUGCCGUGUAAAGCUCCUUCGACGAGUCGAGUUGUUUGGGAAUGCAGCUCUAAAUGGGAGGUAAAUUUCUUCUAAAGCUAAAUACCGGCCAGAGACCGAUAGCGCACAAGUAGAGUGAUCGAAAGAUGAAAAGUACUUUGGAAAGAGAGUCAAAAAGCACGUGAAAUUGUUGAAAGGGAAGCGCUUGCAGCCAGACUUGCCCGCGGUUGCUCACCUAGGCUUUGGCCUGGGGCACUCUUCUGCGGGCAGGCCAGCAUCAGUUUGGGCGGUCGGAUAAAGGCCUCUGUCACGUAUCUUCCUUCGGGAUGACCUUAUAGGGGAGGCGUAAUGCGACCAGCCCGGACUGAGGUCCGCGCAUCUGCUAGGAUGCUGGCGUAAUGGCUGUAAGCGGCCCGUCUUGAAACACGGACCAAGGAGUCUAACAUCUAUGCGAGUGUUUGGGUGUCAAGCCCGGGCGCGUAAUGAAAGUGAACGGAGGUGGGAACCCUUUGGGUGCACCAUCGACCGAUCCUGAUGUCUUCGGAUGGAUUUGAGUAAGAGCAUAGCUGUUGGGACCCGAAAGAUGGUGAACUAUGCUUGAAUAGGGUGAAGCCAGAGGAAACUCUGGUGGAGGCUCGCAGCGGUUCUGACGUGCAAAUCGAUCGUCAAAUUUGGGCAUAGGGGCGAAAGACUAAUCGAACCAUCUAGUAGCUGGGUCCUGCGACUC
rnacentral:rRNA from 1 species